rnacentral:rRNA from 1 species
GAUGAACGCUGGCGGCGUGCCUAAUACAUGCAAGUCGAACGCAUAGCGAAAGGUGCUUGCACCUUUCAAGUGAGUGGCGAACGGGUGAGUAACACGUGGACAACCUGCCUCAAGGCUGGGGAUAACAUUUGGAAACAGAUGCUAAUACCGAAUAAAACUUAGUGUCGCAUGACACAAAGUUAAAAGGCGCUUCGGCGUCACCUAGAGAUGGAUCCGCGGUGCAUUAGUUAGUUGGUGGGGUAAAGGCCUACCAAGACAAUGAUGCAUAGCCGAGUUGAGAGACUGAUCAGCCACAUUGGGACUGAGACACGGCCCAAACUCCUACGGGAGGCUGCAGUAGGGAAUCUUCCACAAUGGGCGAAAGCCUGAUGGAGCAACGCCGCGUGUGUGAUGAAGGCUUUCGGGUCGUAAAGCACUGUUGUAUGGGAAGAACAGCUAGAAUAGGAAAUGAUUUUAGUUUGACGGUACCAUACCAGAAAGGGACGGCUAAAUACGUG